AUCCUCUACACCUUUCCCCUCUAACAAUCCAACAGACUUUCCCCCCAACAAACUAAAACUCUUCCCCAAAAGACAGAGCUAUACUGCAAACUCCUCGUGGCUGCAAUCUACUUUUAUUUGGAGCAGCACCUGCACCAGCAAGAAAACGCUCAUGCUCCCACCAAGCUGCUUGCUUCCCCUUCUCCUGCCAGUUCCAGUGUCCCGUUUGGAUUCACCAGGAAUAC